UCUAGCGCUCUCUCUCUAGCUCUCUCCCUCUCUCUCUCUCUCUCUAGCUCUCUCUCUCACUCUCUAGCUCUCUCUCUCACUCUCUCUCUCUCAUCAUGGGACUGCUCUCCCAGACACUGUGCCUGGCCCUGGCUUUCUGCCACGUCGCCCCACAGAACCUUGAAGUCAUUGUGAAAGACAGGUGCGGGGGGUCAACCUUCAUCAACAUCCACGUCUUCGGCGCCCAGGGAACAGUUGUUGUUGGGGGUUAACCGCCUUGCUCAAGUGCAGAAUGGCAGAUUGAUUUGAUUUUGAAGGCAACCCUGCCAUUAACUACUUGUCAUUUUCAAUUAGUUUAUUUCUAUGUUAUGACCUGGUUCAAAGGCUAUACCGCAUCAAGUGCAAUGUAAGAACAAUCAACACAGACAACUGAGCAAUGGUCGCUAAUAUCCAGAGAGAAAACACCACUGGCAUCAUAUUUCGCUGGUGUAUUUUGUCAGAAUAAGAUCAAUCAGGAUAGAUUUCACUGGGUCUUGUGGAUUUGGCCGUGUAGGCUUGGUUAUCAGCUGGGUGAAAUUUAGCUCAGCACAAAUAUCUUUCAAAACAAUUCAGACUAAGAUCGUUCAUUAUUAAUAGUUCAAAGUUAUCAUUCUUAGAUAGCAAGUCAGUUUGUCAGGAGAACAUGGGGGAAGCCAAGGGAGCAGGGCGAUUUAAAUUCCCACUAACGUUAGCUGGAUAUUAAUACCAAAGCCAACAUAGGUUUUCAAACUGCUUAGGAAGCUGCUAAGGAGCCUUUUGGUCCUAGACUUCACGCUCCAGUAUCACUUGCGGUAGCAGAGAGAACAGUCUAUGACUUGGGUGACCGGAGUCUUUGACAAUUU